AAUGAACGCUGGCGGCAUGCCUAACACAUGCAAGUCGAACGAAGGCUUCGGCCUUAGUGGCGCACGGGUGCGUAACGCGUGGGAAUCUGCCCCUUGGUUCGGAAUAACAGUUAGAAAUGACUGCUAAUACCGGAUGAUGACGUAAGUCCAAAGAUUUAUCGCCGAGGGAUGAGCCCGCGUAGGAUUAGCUAGUUGGUGUGGUAAGAGCGCACCAAGGCGACGAUCCUUAGCUGGUCUGAGAGGAUGAUCAGCCACACUGGGACUGAGACACGGCCCAGACUCCUACGGGAGGCAGCAGUGGGGAAUAUUGGACAAUGGGCGAGAGCCUGAUCCAGCAAUGCCGCGUGAGUGAUGAAGGCCUUAGGGUUGUAAAGCUCUUUUACCCGGGAUGAUAAUGACAGUACCGGGAGAAUAAGCUCCGGCUAACUCCGUG
rnacentral:rRNA from 1 species